rnacentral:ncRNA from 1 species
UUUUACGCUUUGAAGGAAAGCAGUACCUGAAAGGGAUGGAUCAGAGAGACGGCGGUUGGUGUGAGCCGUUUUCACCAGGCGGGGAACUCGUUCCUGAGCAGUGUCCGGGCAGCAACGGAUGCCGGUGAGAACCGUUAUAAUCUUUAAGCGCACAGAAUUAGGGUGGUACCGCGGGAGCAAACUCUCGUCCCUUGG